UGGGGAAUAUUGGACAAUGGGCGAAAGCCUGAUCCAGCAAUGCCGCGUGAGUGAUGAAGGCCUUAGGGUUGUAAAGCUCUUUUACCAGGGAUGAUAAUGACAGUACCUGGAGAAUAAGCUCCGGCUAACUCCGUGCCAGCAGCCGCGGUAAUACGGAGGGAGCUAGCGUUGUUCGGAAUUACUGGGCGUAAAGCGUACGUAGGCGGUGACUCAAGUCAGAGGUGAAAGCCUGGAGCUCAACUCCAGAACUGCCUUUGAAACUAGGUCGCUAGAAUCACGGAGAGGUGAGUGGAAUUCCGAGUGUAGAGGUGAAAUUCGUAGAUAUUGGGAAGAACACCAGUGGCGAAGGCGGCUAACUGGUCCGGUACUGACGCUGAGGUGCGAAAGCGUGGGGAGCAAACAGGAUUAGAUACCCCUGUAGUCCCUGAGCGGGCUGGCAAGGCGCAU
rnacentral:rRNA from 1 species